rnacentral:rRNA from 1 species
UGAGCAAUCUGCCCUUCUCUUCGGAAUAAGCGUUGGAAACGACGUCUAAUGCCGAAUACGACCUCCUUUCGCAUGAUCGGAGGUGGAAAGCUCCGGCGGAGAAGGAUGAGCUCGCGGCCUAUCAGCUAGUUGGUGUGGGUAAUGGCUCACCAAGGCGACGACGGGUAGCCGGCCUGAGAGGGCGAUUGGCCACACUGGGACUGAGACACGGCCCAGACCUCUACGGGAGG